rnacentral:rRNA from 1 species
UAGAGUUUGAUCAUGGCUCAGAAUGAACGCUAGCGGCAGGCCUAAUACAUGCAAGUCGAACGGGAUCCAUUGGAGAGCUUGCUCGAAGUCGGUGAGAGUGGCGCACGGGUGCGUAACGCGUGAGCAACCUGCCCUUGUCAGGGGGAUAGCCCGGAGAAAUCCGGAUUAACACCGCAUGAGACUACAGCCUGGCAUCGGGAGGUAGUUAAAUAUUUAUAGGACAAGGAUGGGCUCGCGUGGCAUUAGCUGGUUGGUAGGGUAACGGCCUACCAAGGCGACGAUGCCUAGGGGCUCUGAGAGGAGAAUCCCCCACACUGGUACUGAGACACGGACCAGACUCCUACGGGAGGCAGCAGUAAGGAAUAUUGGUCAAUGGGCGGGAGCCUGAACCAGCCAUGCCGCGUGCGGGAGGAAGGCCCUAUGGGUCGAAAACCGCUUUUGCACGGGAACAAACCCCGCUACGCGUAGCGGGCUGAGCGUACCGUGAGAAUAAGGAUCGGCUAACUCCGUGCCAGCAGCCGCGGUAAU